GAAGAAAAUUAAAGGAGGAUUCAUCAGAUGUGAGUAAUUAACAUCCAUCAGGUUAAUCAGUAGUUUAAAGCCUCACUUUAGCCUCUACAAGAUAUUUAUGCAGAAGUUCAACCAAACAGAAGACAUCAGGUCCUGAGGUCACAGACUCAGACUAUCACAUUAUCAGAGAGAAGCUCGAGUGUCUGUGACCUCUGCAGACCUGAACCUAUGAAGAAAGACCUACUCUAAGAAUAUCAAAAGAAACCAGCUUCAAAAUCAACAACCAGCCUCCUCUACAUGGACCACUGACUUCAUGAUAUUUUCUUUAGUUUGUAAUAUUUUGCCCUGUAAAACAAUUAAAGACCACCUUAAAUAACUUUGGUUAUAAAAGAAUCCCAAAGUGUGUUAACCACAGGAGGAGGAGUGACUGAGAGCAGAGAGGAGGAGCAGAGAUUCAGGGAGGAGCUGAGCUGUUACUGAACUAUAGAAGAGAGAAAAACCUCCACAUUCAACAGAGUUCAACACAAAACAAACUUUAUGUUCCUCAACAUGCUGUCAUUACAUCACUGUGUGUUUCCUCUGAUUCUUCUCACUCUCACAGGUGUCACAUGUGAAGACCUCAGUCCAGUCAAAGAUGAAGAGUCCAGUGUAGAGGGCAGCACAGUUACUCUGUCCUACAAAUACACCACAGCUGCUAAUUAUUUCUUCUGGUAUCGACAACAUCCAGGAAAAGCACCAGAGUUCCUGAUCUCACACUCACCUUCAGGAGCAGUAGGAGAAGAAAAAGUUCCUGGACUGAAGAUUCAAGUCAAGGGAACAGAAAUCAAGAUGAACAUCUCCUCUGCUGCAGUGUCUGACUCUGCUGUGUACUACUGUGCUGUGAGGCCCACAGUGACAGGAAACACCAAAACUCUGUACAAAAACCUUUGGAGCAAAGACAACAGAAUACUCCACAACAUCCACUAGAGGGAGCCACACACCUUUGUUAGGAUACAGACUAACACAUAACACACAGCUGUGAUGAAGAGCUUCAGGUGAAGUUAAUGUGAUGUGAGCCUCCUCCUCCUCCUGACUGCAGAAA